AGGCUGGAAGUCCAAGAUCAAGGUGCUGACAGGUCUGGUUUCUCCUGAGGCCUCUCUCCU
rnacentral:miRNA from 1 species